ACUGGGCGUAAAGCGUGAGUAGGCGGUAGUAUGUGUCAGAUGUAAAAGGCUAAGGCUUAACCAUAGUUAGCAUUUGAAACUGUAUUACUUGAGUGCAGGAGAGGUAAGUGGAAUUCCUAGUGUAGCGGUGAAAUGCGUAGAUAUUAGGAGGAACACCAGUGGCGAAGGCGACUUACUGGACUGUAACUGACGCUGAGUCACGAAAGCGUGGGUAGCAAACAGGAUUAGAUACCCUGGUAGUCCACGCUGUAAACGAUGAGUGCUAGGUGUUGGCCAGCGAUGGUCAGUGCCGAAGUAAACACAAUAAGCACUCCGCCUGGGGAGUACGGUCGCAAGACUGAAACUUAAAGGAAUUGACGG
rnacentral:rRNA from 1 species